CCUUUAAAUUUAAAGAAUUUGGCGGUGUUUUAGUCUGGUUAGAGGAACCUGUGUUAUAAAUGAUACGACACGCAUUAUCUUACUUAUUUUAGUAAAUCAGUUUGUAUACCGUCAUUAUUAGAUAAUUUAUGAGAAAAUAUUAUUAAGAUCAUAUUAUUGAGUAUAUUAGAUCAAGGUGCAGCUUAUGAGUAAGUAAAUAUGGGUUACAAUAAAAUUUAUUUAAUAUGAAUUAGGUAUUUAAAUAUAUUUAUGAAGGAGGAUUUAAUUGUAAGAAAAAAAUAGUAAGAUUUUUUGAUAAAAGCUCUAAAUUAU
rnacentral:rRNA from 1 species